rnacentral:rRNA from 1 species
AAGGUCCCCGCUGGUGACCUGCGGAGGGACAUUA